UACGGAGGGUGCGAGCGUUGUUCGGAAUUACUGGGCGUAAAGCGCGUGCAGGCGGCCGACUAAGUCCGGUGUGAAAGCCCGGGGCUCACCCCCGGAAGUGCGCUGGAAACUGGUCGGCUAGAGUACGGGAGAGGGAAGCGGAAUUCCUGGUGUAGCGGUGAAAUGCGUAGAUAUCAGGAGGAACACCGGCGGCGAAGGCGGCUUCCUGGACCGAUACUGACGCUGAGACGCGAAAGCGUGGGGAGCAAAC
rnacentral:rRNA from 1 species